rnacentral:lncRNA from 1 species
CUUGAACGCCACCGCUGCAAACAACAAGUUGUGGCGCCGUUGAUCCGCUAGAUUUGGUUGGAUGCUGGUGGUGAGUUGCUGAACCCAAAGAGUGCAUCCUGAAGUAGGAUGGGGUGAUCGGAUUAGGGUGUCCCUCUCGCAGGGGAGAGCAGGGAAUUGCCUCGGGAAGGAGGCCGCUGGGGAAGCUGUACCACCCUGUAACAACAUCAAGAUGUG